rnacentral:rRNA from 1 species
CCUACGGGAGGCAGCAGUGGGGAAUCUUGCGCAAUGGGCGAAAGCCUGACGCAGCAACGCCGCGUGCGGGAAGAAGGCUUUCGGGCUGUAAACCGCUUUCAGCAGGAACGAAAAUGACGGUACCUGCAGAAGAAGGAGCGGCCAACUAUGUGCCAGCAGCCGCGGUGAUACAUAGGCUUCAAGCGUUGUCCGGAUUUAUUGGGCGUAAAGAGUUCGUAGGCGGUCAAGUAAGUCGGGUGUGAAAAUUCUGGGCUCAACCCAGAGACGCCACCCGGAUACUGCUUAACUCGAGUUCGAUAGGGGAGUGGGGAAUUCCUAGUGUAGCGGUGAAAUGCGCAGAUAUUAGGAGGAACACCGGUGGCGAAGGCGCCACUCUGGAUCGAUACUGACGCUGAGGAACGAAAGCAUGGGUAGCAAACAGGAUUAGAUACCCUGGUAGUCCAUGCCGUAAACGGUGGGCACUAGGUGUGGGUUUCUAUUAACGAAAUCCGCGCCGUCGCUAACGCAUUAAGUGCCCGCCUGGGGAGUACGGUCGCAAGACUAAAACUCAAAGGAAUUGACGGCUGAGACGUGCGACGACGACGACGAGGGAGUAGG